UACGUAGGGUGCGAGCGUUGUCCGGAAUUAUUGGGCGUAAAGGGCUCGUAGGCGGUUUGUCGCGUCGGGAGUGAAAUCAUCUGGCUUAACUGGGUGCUUGCUUUCGAUACGGGCAGACUAGAGGUAUGCAGGGGAGAUCGGAAUUCCUGGUGUAGCGGUGAAAUGCGCAGAUAUCAGGAGGAACACCGGUGGCGAAGGCGGAUCUCUGGGCCAUUACUGACGCUGAGGAGCGAAAGCGUGGGGAGCGAACAGG
rnacentral:rRNA from 1 species